rnacentral:rRNA from 1 species
CUCAACGACGGAAUUGCUAGAGGAACUGCCUAGAUUGAGUAUAGAAUGGGAAUGCGGAACUCCUGGUGGAGAGGUGAAAUUCGUAGAUAUCAGGAGGAACACCAGUGGCGAAGGCGGCAUUCUGGUCUAUAACUGACGCUGAGGUGCGAAAGCGUGGGUAGCGAACGGGAUUAGAGACCCCGGUAGUCCACGCCGUAAACGAUGGAUACUUGAUGUUUAGGGUUAGACCUAAGUAUCGUAGUUAACGCGAUAAGUAUCCCACCUGGGGAUUAAGGUCGCAAGACUUAAACUCAAAGGAAUUGACGGGGGCCCGCACAAGCGGUGGAACAUGUGGUUUAAUUCGAUGCAACGCGAAGAACCUUACCUGGACUUGACAUGUUAGUGUCAGGUUCGUGAAAGCGAACCUAUCUACUGGCAAUUGAGUCAGUAGUAC